UUAAUAGUAAGAUCUGCUCAAUGAAUAUUAAAUAGCCGCAAUUUGUGCUAAGGUAGCAUAAUAAUUUGUYUUUUAAAUAAAGACCAGAACAAAAGAUUUAACACUUUUAUUUAUAUAUUAUAUUUAAUAAAUUAAAUUUACCCUAAAUGUAAAAAGUCAUUCAUAUAAAAAAAAGACGACAAGACCCUAUUGAACUUAACUUUAGUUAAACUGGGGCAGUAAAUUAAUUAUUAUUUUAAAAUAAAUAAUAUAUUAAUUAUCCAAUUAAAUGAUAAUUCAGUUACCAUAGGGAUAACAGCGCAAUUAUAUUUUCAAGUUCUAAUAUAAAAUAUAGAUUACGACCUCGAUGUUGAAUUAAUAACCUAAACAAAGCAAAUUUUAAUAAAGGAAGUCUGUUCGACUUUUAAAAAAUUACAUGAUUUGAGUUCAGACCGGUAUAAGCCAGGUCGGUUUCUAUCUUUUAUAAAAAUUUAUACAGUACGAAAGGACCUAUAAAUUUAAUAUUAAUUUUAAUAUUAGCAAAAAAAUGCAUUAGAAUUAGAAUCUAAAAACACU
rnacentral:rRNA from 1 species